CACGUAGGGGGCAAGCGUUGUCCGGAUUUAUUGGGCGUAAAGAGCUCGUAGGCGGCUCAGUAAGUCGGGUGUGAAACCUCCAGGCUCAACCUGGAGACGCCACUCGAUACUGCUGUGGCUUGAGUCCGGUAGGGGAGCGUGGAAUUCCUGGUGUAGCGGUGAAAUGCGCAGAUAUCAGGAGGAACACCGGUGGCGAAGGCGGGUCUCUGGGCCGAUACUGACGCUGAGGAGCGAAAGCGUGGGGAGCGAACAGG
rnacentral:rRNA from 1 species